UUCAUUCUCCUGUAUUCUCUUCUGUUCUUCUCUUAGCCCUUGCCAUCUCCACUGAAUGUGCCCAUGAGAGAUGCUGUAAUGAAAAGUUACAGACUAACUUGGCUACCCCUCUGAAGCUCUAGAGGAGAGGAAUUCUUUGAGCACUACAAAAGAUCCUUAUCUGAGAAGAAAAGCCCCACUUCCUGCUGCUGCCACUAUGGCCGUUGGAUCUCGCCUUCACACCAUCCAGAUAAAGAGGAAGAAGAGGACUCCAGAUGACCAGUUCAGUGAGAUCCUGCAAGCCCAUGCUGCAUCAGACUGUGAGCACAGGACCUGGAGGAUGAACACUGUGAACCCCUUGGGGAAAGAAGAGAGGCCAAGAAGUUCCAGCAGGAGAGGCAGAUGCACCAGGACAGAAUGGGGCUUCCCAAAUAGCAAACAGAUGCUGCAGACUCUGGUGGACCUGCCGGUGCAAGUGUCUCAGGUGUGCCUCCCUCUACAGCUCAUUGAGAACUCACUAUGAGUACCUCUCCCUACCCCCUCAGCUGUCCAAAUGACACCAGGGGUUUUCCGGAAUAAGUGGCCAGUGUAGGCACAGCCAUGGGGUGCUGUGUGAAUUACUCUUAGCCUGGAACAUGGGAUGCAGAUAUUAAAGUAAUACUAGUGUUUCCUCUGUAAAGUAGUUGCUCUAAGACUGUAAAUCCCCCACACUCAGGCAAGAAGCCUUUACUGACUGAAUUUUAGUUUAUCACAAGAGCUACCAUCUUCUCUCCAGCAAAUGGUCUAUAGAUACUAGACAAGCCACUGUGGAGCAGCAGUGCACAAAACACUUUUUGGAUUGCUCUCGCCACACUCUCAGAUGAGACCUGCACAAACUCUCUCCUCAGCUUGAGCUCUGAGGAAGAAAAUAAAAAGCCCUGUCAAGAAGUUAUGUCUGUGCUGCUUGGACUUCAGGGAGAGGGCAAGACUUGUGAGCAUCAGCAAGGGGUCCUUGGCAGUUUUGCUUGGAUUAGCCUUAAAGGACAUAUAGACCUUGCAUGUCACAGCAGCUUAUGUUACAAUCCUAGGUUUUAAAACUUCCCUUGUUUACCUGCUUUAACCUUGUAAAUAAUGUUCAGUUCUUAUUUCUAGUUAGUAAAUCUUGUGUGUUACAGAAUUGCCUACAAGCAUUGUCUGAGAUGCGGGGUUAAGUGAAACAUAAGCAGGGCUCGACAAAUAAUGCAAUCUACUUGGCUGUGGCGGGUAGAUUGCAACCUGGAACAGCAGGGUUCGAGUGAUCUGUGCAUGCGCAGAUCGCCGGACAGCGCAGCUGGUGAGCGUGGCUCACCACGGUUUGGUGAGCCCUGUACAUAAGCAACAGGGCACAAGCCCCAAAUUUUUUAACAGUUUGCCCUGAGGCUGGCACUCCUGAUCUAGAUAUCUUGAAUUAUAUUCCAAUGUGAAGAGCAAUAGCAUUAUAAUUCCUCCUGAGGCAUGUAAGAGCAGGGCCAGGUAGAGAGCACACUCACCACAUAGUACACGGUUUGCUGUUAAAAUGAUCUUUCAUAGUCUUCCUGAGCCAUAUAACUCUAUAUGGAAUUCUUCUAAUAGUCCUUGUAUUGAGCCAAUCAAAUUCAGCAGAGAGCAAAUCCACCUCUGCCCUCCACCCUUACCCCGCCUCGCCCCCAUUGCUUCAUAGGUAUGCAGGACUCA